rnacentral:miRNA from 3 species
CAGCCAAGAAUGAUUUGCCGG